GCAGAAUACAGCAGAAAUGGGAUUACUGCUCAUACAGAAUAUAAGAAUGUAUCAUGAACUUCCACAGCAUUAGCUGGAAAUAUUGCUGACGAACAGUCCACCUGAAUUAGCCUUGUUGAUGAUACAACCCAUAUCGCACAUGAACUUCAAAACAUUUAAUCUAAUCGCCGGUUGAAUUGAAAACGACAAAAGUCUGGGCAAUUGGAGCUUUUACGAGGGGCCAACUGCGGACUGGACUUCAUCGAGCGCAAUUGAUUCUGCGAAAUCUCUAAUGGAAAUAAAUGUGCUUUUAUGGCUGUCCCCCCCGCCUUACAUAACAAUUAAAUAAAGGCCGGGCCAAAACUGAAAGACUUUCACCAUCUGUCCAGGCACAAAAACAAACAAACUAACAAAACCGCAUUUGUUUCAUAAAUUUUUCUUUUUUAAUUAAAACUGGUUUCGUCGGUUUCCAGUUGACCCAAAACAUAGACUAGAUUUCCCUAACCAGCAUCCAAAACGACACAAAAUCCGAAUCAAAAGACAUU